AGCAUUAUUCAUUAGAGGAAAUUAGGCCCAUUACUUUUAAAAAUGAACUAAUUAGUUUAAUACGCUUUAACCAAAUUAAAACCUCUAAUAACCGUAAAUAAUACGCCCCCAAAUUCAUCCAAAGCCCCGAACCAAUAGAUUUCAAAGAGAAAUCCCCAAUUCUUCCAAAUUCACGAUCCCAUAAUUCUUGAUAGGUGGGGAGGAGGGCUGGAGAUGUUUAGAUGGUUGAUAGUGGCGCGUAUGGUUGACAACUACUAGAUACGACGGUUAGGAAUUGGUAAAGGAGCCGGUGGCAUGGAUUGGAUGGUGGAGGAGUUGAUAAAGGGAUAGAAUAUCGGUGGCUAGCAUGGCUAGAAAGAGCAGCAAAUUUAGACACAUUGUGAAACCGAUAUUCAAGAUUUUUGCUAUUUUUCACGGCGAAUUUCUUCAGUUUUUGCAGAUGAUCUUUCAACUUGUACACACACUCCAACGAGAGAGUGUGACUUUGGUGGUAUACAAUUAUCAAUAAGUAUGUUUGGUGGAUUAAGUAUAAUAUUGUCUGGAUGUUAUGAAUGGGUUUUGGACAGUGUGUGGCUGGUCCACUAAUUGCUGCUUCGUCCAUUCAGGUUUUCAAUUGUUAAGGACUACUUUUUUACUGCAUCUAUCUAUUGUAUAUAAUGUUUUUGUAAUUAAUACUUGAUGCCUGUGUUUGGUUUUGUAUCUCUAAUUGUAGAUGAUAGGCUUAUUUUAAGGCUUAUGACCGUGUAAAAAAAAAUAAAAAAUCAAUCAACUCUAUGGAGCUUUCAUUUGCUCUGCAAAUGAGAGCACAGGUGGUGCAAUUGGUGCUAGUAACUAACCAUGGAAUGUGGCUUUUAGUGAAUUCUUUGGUGUCCUGCAAAUGCACUAGCUGAUAACAAGUAUAUCCCACAAGGCACGACUGGCAUGGCUAUAAUUGAUGUUUUCAUGAAAAUUGUAAUAUGAGAACUCUGUAUUCUUAUUAUCAUUGUAAGGACCAUAAGAUACUUCCUACCUUGACUACAAUACUUUAGGAAACCACCUACCACAGUUAGAAGUUCAAUUCACACGGUGAUUUAGUAUGUGUAAUAGCUUAUUACAUUAGUUGCUGUUGAUAGUAGAAUUUUCCUCCCUUUGCUUUCUUAAUUGAUGAUGUAGCUUUUUGUUGCCAUAAACUCAUGAGUUGAGCUGAAAAUGCUCAAGUUAGCGUUGGAGUUGCAGGUGUUAUGUUUUAGUAUUGAAGAUCCAAGUUUUUCUUAUUGCUAUGGACUCCUAACUUGAGCUCACAAGGCUAUGCAUUUUUCAUGGUUACCAAACUAUGAUAGGUUAAGGUUUUGCGCAAGAUGUUGGCCAUGUUUAGUCCAAUUCUCAAUGCCAGCAUAGAAAGAUGAUAGGUACCUGUCAUUUGCUUAAAUAUAUGCAAGACAAAAAUGUUAAAGGAUGAAUUGCAAAAUUCAUAUUUUUGACAUCCAAAUAUAGAGUUGAUUUGGUUACCAUAGUGAAUUAUCUUUUUUGAGUGUUCGUUAUUUUUUUUGAAUUUUUGUCACUUUUUUGAAUAGUUUUUGGCCCUUUUUUUUAAAAAAUAAUUUCUGUUACUUAUUUAAAAUUUUUGUUACCUUUUUAUGUGACGAACAUCCCUUUCAAAAAACUUUUUAUAUAAUUAAUGGGGUAGCUGAGUUAGUAGAUGACGGUGGCGGGAAUUGACUUAAAAUGCUUGACGUUUUGAUUGGUAUUUUCCCGGUAAACUUACUUAACGAUGCUUGGUGGUUAACGAAGAAAGAAGAGGGACGGUGGUUGUCAUUUUUUUAUUUCAGCCAAUUUAUUGAACUAAUUUCAAUGUUUUAAUUGAUGUUUUGUUAUUUUGUUAUUUUUAAUUUUUGUCACUUUUUUGAGUGUAUGUCACUUUUAUGAAUUUCUGUCACUUUUUUUUUUUUUUUUUUUUUUUUUUUUUUUUUUUUUUUUUUUUUUUUUUUUUUUUUUUUUUUUUUUUUUUUUUACUAUUUAUCACCUUUUUUGAAUUACUAUAAUUUUUUUUUAGUACUUGUCACUUUUUUCUAUCACUUUCUUGAAAUUUUUAUCACUUUUUUAAUAAAAGUGACAUUGUAUGUCUUUUUAAAUAAAAAAGUGAGACUUAACUUUAAAAAAAAAAAAAAAGAGACGUUGUGCAUAAAAAGUUACAUUAUGUCACAUUUUUCAUAUGAUUUUUCUUAAGAUCCCUAAUUUUAAGGAUACUUUUACAAGUUGCCCUUGUUCUAAUUAGUGUUUUGUCACCUUUUGAGUGCUUGUGUAAUUUUUUUGAAUUAAUGUCACUUUUUUCUAUAUUUAUCACUUUAUUUCUUGAAUUUUGUCAAUUUUUAGUUUUCGUCACUUUUUUCAGUCGCCUUCUUUAUUUUUAUCACUUUUUUAAACAAACAUCGCUCUUUAAUAAAAGACACACUAUAUGUUAUUUUUCAAUAAAAAAAAAGUGACAUCGUGUCACUUUUUUUUAUUAAAAAGUGACAUUGUGCCACUAUUUAAUAUUAAACAAUAUUUUUUAAUUCCAAAAACUUUUCGUAUGAUUUUUCAAAAGACAACUAGUUUUAAAAGUAUUUUUGUAAGUUGUCCUUUAAUAAUUUUCAUCAAUUUAUAGGAUGGUAGAUGAUAUGGUCCUUUAUGUUGGGCCUGACUUGAAUGGCCAGAGUUGAUCCAAUUUCGCCACUCCGCAGGCCCAACAUAACUGAAAAGUUUAAUUUAGAACCAAUACUCUGUGCGCAGUAAGAAGAAUCGAAAAAAAAAAAAAAAAAAUCCAUGCUUUGUUGAGAUUUUACAGUUUAAAAAUUAGACUACUGCACUAUCAUUUAGCAUUUACCGCUUGAACUAGUUUCAACUUGCCUCUUUCUCUUUAUAUUCGUCAAUGAAUUGAAUUGCGGUGAUAAACUUGAAUCCCAGAAAUUUUGAAGGUCUCGAAUUUCAGCAUUUUACUGACUCGUGUCGAUAAGACAGCAAUUCAUCUCCUUUUAUGGAUUUCCAGUGUGAAAUUGAACUCUUAGGUCCAUAGUUUGUAACCUAAAUCCUCAAAUCUGUUCCAGAUUUGCAGAACAUUGAAAUAUUGAAGGAAUAACUAAGAAACAAAAAUCAAGCGCACACCCGAAGAGAAAGAUAGCUAGCUUAUGAAGUCCCCGCAAUAAAGGUAAUGGCUUUGAGAUUCACAGAGAAAGCAAGGGCAAGAAUUGAGAAGGCAGAAGGAGAAUGCUUAACUUUUGAUCAGCUAGCUCAGAGCUCCUCUUGAACGGUAGUGAAUAUUCCAGUCUUUUCUGUUAAUUUCUUUUUCUUGAUAAUUUUAUUGUUGCUAAAGUUUGAUAUAGUUGGUAGUAUAGAACGGUGGAAAUGAGAUUUUAAACCAAUAACAUGAAUAUCAUUUUGUCAGUGAUUUCAAUUAUGCAAUGAUUGUUGUGUUCACUACUUUGAUAGUUUGAUUCAUUGUUUCCUUUGAACUAGUAUUUAAGGUUUGAUAUGGAUUCUAUUACUCACAAAAAUUGCUUUGUUAAAGAUUUUUUGUUUUUUUUUUUUUUUUUUUUGCUCAAUGUUCAACUAUUUUGGUCUUGCUCACAGCUAUGAUUCUGCUGGUAAAUUUUGCCUUUUCUAUUUGUGCUACAAAAAUCUUGUGCUGUUACAAAACCCAAAAUAGCUAACUGUGUUGUUUUGAUGCAUGUACUUCUUAGAGGACCCGUGAAGUCUUGUGAGGCAGCGAAGCACUUUGGUCCAACUCCUAGUGUUCCACACAGCCACACCAAGCUGAAUGUGCAAGCCAAGGGUAGGAAAUUUGAGCGUGCUAGAGGUAGAAGAAGCAGCAGAGGUUUUAAGGUCACAAUCAUUAGUUAUUGCCAGGUUGAUGGCUGUUUUGUUUAUAUUUUAUCAUAUUUUCUAUGAAAGGUUUUGUCCUACUAUGUAUUCCCCGCCCCGAUUCUUUUCUUGUGCUCUCUCAGCUUUUUUUUUUUUUUUUUUUUCUCUUCGAUGCGAUUGUUAUCAUAUUUGCUACUAUAAUGUUACUUGUGAAUUUCUAUCAUG
rnacentral:lncRNA from 1 species